rnacentral:tRNA from 1 species
GCCGGGGUGGCGGAAUCGGCAGACGCAGCGGACUUAAAAUCCGCUGGGCGAAAGCCCGUACGGGUUCGAGUCCCGUUCCCGGCA